AACCUGGGGACACAAGACGGAUGGGGCGAGGUGGGAUGCUGAGGGUGGGCAGCCCACCCUUCCGGGCUUGUCUGCCUUUAACACUGGCCAGUGAGGCAUCAGGCAUGCAGAGAAGGCUUCAAGGAGUCUGGGGGACUGUGCACAUUGAUGGAGAAGGUGUGGAUAUUCUCAAAGACGGUACAAAGGGAUGGCCGGAGGCAGGAGGAGAGUAGGAUGACAAGCCAGGUUCUCUGCCAGGCAUGUUGAGAGGGCAGGUGGACUCUGUCUAGAGAGGGGGGGUGUGGUUAGCAAUGUCAUGACUCUUUGGAUGGGAGAAAACAGUGACGCUUGAAGAAGCUGGGUGUGUGUGGGGAGUCUGGGGUCAGAGGCUGGGGGCCAGGGUAUGUGAGCAUGGAUUGUGGUCUGCAAGGGAAACUGCCUAGAGCCGCAGGGGUAUUUGUAGCUGGUGUAAAUAAGCAUAUAGAAUUGUGUGAAGGUUUAGUGUGUUGAAUGAAUGAAGAUGGUUUUUAAAAAGGAAAGCAGGGUGCUCAGCCUGCGUAGUGUUUGCCUCGGAAGAGUAAAGACUUGGCUUUGAUUCUCAAAACUCACACGGAAGUGUCAGGUGUGGCUGAGCGCGCAUGCUUGUAAUCCCGGUGCUGGAGAGGUUGUGACGGGGAUGUGAGGGGGCGGGGGUGGACUCCUGGGACCCAUUGGCCAGUCAGUGCGAGCUAACUGGUGAGCUCCUGGCCAGUGAGAGACCCUGUCUCAAAGGGAGUGACCGAUGCCCCCGAGGAUGUCUUGGCUUCUACGCACACAAGUACACACACCAGUGUUCACACACAGAUGUGCAUACACACACGUACAUAAAACAAAACAGAAGGGCAAUAAGUAAGCAAGUGUCAACAACUGACAACACCCAAAACUGGCGCUGAUCCCUGGGAAACGACUGAAACAGAAUGCUGUCACGUGACAACGCGCAUGCGCAAUCUGACAGGUCGCCUAAAAGUUGAGGAUUCCUAUCCAACCUCAGGUCUGCUAUGGGAACAUCGUUGUGUGCAGGCACAUUACUGACAGAAUGGAGCAUGACUGGACAAACGUCCUGUUGGGUUUGCUUCUCUCGGGACCCCUCACUGGAUCUAAAAAACUCCACUCAGCACUGGAAAACUGAUGGUCGGUACAGGAGGAACCGGAAACGGGGCGGGGGGUGGGAAGUGACAGACAGACCUAGGGUUACAGGAGGAUUUAAUGGGGACUUGUGGACAGAGCAUGCCCUGAGUGGCCAUACCUCAACGCAGUAAGAGGAAGUCUCGGUGCUGACCUAGACAAAGGUGAACAGCCAGAUGAACCUCACUAGUUACCAAUUUAUCCAACAUCAAUUACCAAACAGGCUGUGGAGGGAGUGAGGGCUGGAGAGAUGCUUCAGUUGUUAGAGAACACUUGCUGCUCUUGCAGAGGGCCCGAAUUUGGUUCCACAACUGCCUAUAACUCCAGCUUCGGGGGUGGUGGGGGUGGGACCUGACACUUCUGGUCUCUUCAGGUUGCACAUACACAUGUGCCCCUAUGCGAACACACAUCCAUAUAUACAUAAUCAAAAAUAAAAGGUUUUUUUUUUUUUUUUUAAAGACAGGGUCUCAUGUAGCUCUGGCUGUUAGACCAGGCUGGCCUUGAAUUCUCAGAUAUCUGCUUCCCAAGUGCUGACUACGACUAGCUCGCAAUAACAAAAUCUUUAAAAAGAAAGCAAGCCAUGUGUCCUUGCCUCACUAUGGCAUGUCAUGCCCAGCUGGUGGUCUCUGUGGCUCUGUGUUGUGGAGUUUGGAACAUGGUGAGGGUCACCUGGUAGGUGAGCUGACAGUUAGGACUGAAAUGGCCUUGGAUCUAUCAACCUGGGUCCCAGCAAUCACCAGUGAGGUGCUGCCUGUCACAGCUGAGGCUGGGAUUGCCUCUGCCUGUUACAUGCUGCAGAAGUGUGUAUGCGGGUUUGUGGAAGUGGAGCAAACCACACCUUCUGCAUGUGUGGAGGAGACACUGACCCCUGUGAGCUUAUUUAGUAAUUAGCAUGCCAGGCUUCUGGAGGCAGAGGGGGAGGAGCCCCUCUGCUUUCCCUCCACCCCGGGGGUGGGGGUGGGGUGGGGAUUAGAUUGCUGUUUGCUGCAGCAAUCGCUCCGAUUCUGUGCUUUUCUUUUGAAGGGUCUCGUGUAGGCCAAAAUGACGUUGAUGUCUCUUUGUAGCCGGAUGACUUUGAACUCCUGAUCUGCCACACCACCUCCAGUAGGAUCUGUGUGACAAGUUCCGCACACUGAGGCGACCGACCUCAAAAGGGGGAGGCCUCCUGGAACCGGCUGUGGAACUUUUCGCCAGAGAAAAAUUAUUGAGCCGUGGUUCUCAUGGCAAUCUCUCUGUUUUGUUUUCUCUUAUUCCUUUUCUUAUUUACAUGUUCCUCGAAGCCCAAGCUAAGAUCUUAAGUGAGAAUAAUGGGUAAGGAAGCAUCCCUAGAGAUGGGGUCACUAACAUGACCUCAUCCCUGGGGAAACCAACGCUUUACUUUCUAAAUCAUUUACAAAACUAUGAUGAUAGAUAAAAGUUUUUCCAACAAUAAAAUUUCAUAUGGCUACACGUGUGUCAUCGGAGGUUGGUUUUGGUAUAUGGUAAAGGAAGCCUUAA